UUUUCCAGGUUAUAUGAAUCCUGAGUCCUGCAAUGAGAUUGUGGAUCCAGUGUUUUGUCAAAUGAAAUACUUAACAGAAGGGAACUCCCAGGAGAGCAGCAUCAUGGGGAGCACAAGCCCCGGAGUGUUGACCAGCCUGCCUCCCAGAGGACAGUGUCCUAAGAAAUGGACAACGCGGGACACAGGUCGUUCUUAAAUUCGAGGGGUUGUCCAUACUGAGUUCUGGUGUGGGAUCCUCUCUGCUCCUCUCCAGGCCCUCACCCCAGCCAGACUUUCUUACACAGGCCCAGAGCCAGUCCGCAAAGAGCUUGUCCGUGACGUCGGUGGAGGAAUGGAGGGGGCCUGGGGUGGGGAGGGUAGUAGGGGGAGGAGGGGAGCAGAGCGGAAAAGCUCUGCCUGGCAGGGAAUGCUCCAGACCCACAGGCACCGUUUGGGUGAGGUAGGGGUACACAGACCACUGCCGCCUCUUGCAUUUACUUACACACACACACACACACACACACACACACGUGUGUCUCCGGGGACUAGUGAGAGUGGGUAAGGGAAGUCAGACCUAGAGCCAGUGUUUGCAAAGAUCAAAGGGCAGUAGGACAGAAGUGAUGCUCUGUCACCAGCCACCUGUGUGACCCUGAGCAAGCCCUGACUCCUCCCUCGGCUCCGACGAAGCUGCGGAGGAGAUGCUGUUCUUGAGGUCGGGCCUGUACGAAUCUCGACCACACAAAGCACGCAGACACAAACAUCAGAUGUCAGAACCCGGAGAGGGGCAGCAAUGCGGCAGCGGCGACGCGGAGCCCAGAGCAGAAAACAGUCAGCAACGGGGGCUAGGACACAAUCAUGCAGAGACCCGUCCCAGAUCCCGGCGCCCCCGGGCCCGCGGCACGCCCCUCCCGCAGGUCCCGCAGGUUCGAAAUAUUUCAUCAUGAAAAGUGUUGUAAAAGGGCUGAAAUUCCUGGAGAAAAAUGAAGCACGCAAGAAAUAUGAGCCAGGAGAACCAGACACAGAGAUGGAGACCCCAGAGGGAAUCUUUGGAAAACAUCUGCCUCCCUAGGCCCAAGCGGUCUCAGGCCCAGACCCUGACUACCUUCGCAGCCCGACAGGCGCCCCUCCCCCGCGCUCCUCUGGACCUCGUCUGGGUCGCUCCUUCUCCCACUCCGGUUGCGCGGAAUUGCUCCGCACGCCGGGGCCUGCUCCGGUUCCGGAACCAUCUUUGGACGAUACUCACCCGUUAUCCAGCAGUUUUCACACGGGGCUACUCUGAAGGGGGAAGGGACUGCUCUGCAGAGACGCGACAAGGAGACAGGGCAGUCAGCCUGCGGAUUCGAUUCUCCACUUCAUCAUGUGGCCACGAACAGGUGUUUGGUAAUGUCUGUUUGGUGGAUGGAUGGACAAGAUACAUGAAUGUGGGAUGAGGAACUCUUAGCACACUCCUCAACAAGACAAAGAGCAGCUUAACAGUGAGAAUGAAUCAAAUCACAGCUUUCCUAUGUUGUUUACCCAACUCAUUGGCCAGCUCCUGCGGUUUACCUGGGAACUGUAUAAUCCAGUAUUUACAGCUUCAGGCCAAACACAUUCCAGACUAAACGUUCUGCAGGCUUCACUGCACCUACUCUAACCACCACCACCCCUCCCGCACCCGCACCGCCCUCACCCAGCGCACCGCCCUCACCCAGCGCAGACACACUCAGAGCCUUUGGGCACCUAGAGCCCUGGAGCAUGUCAGGACUUUGACCUUUCAAGGGUCAAAGUUGGGGGUGGGGGGCGGUGGGAGUGGUCCUGCGGAGACCAGCAACACCUAGAUAAUUUAAGAGCAAGGCCCCAGGAGAUGGGUAACAUUACCUCCAGGGUUCCUUUUAGCUCAUAUCUCAAUAGCUCCUCGCAGAGCACACGCACAAAAAAAGCACAAGAAAAUGGGUAGAGGGAAGGUCAUCGCCUCCUGACAGGCAAGGGUGACAAACACUGCAGCAAGAUGAAAACACAGACCGAGUUGCAGGAGACAGCAGAGAAGAAUCCGAGAGGUAAACAGAAAGAAAUUCUAUUAAACACGUCUGCCACCCUCCCCUUGGGGACAAACGGAGGCCCCGUACCAGUCCCCAUUCUUCUCUACCCCACAGCACACACGGUCUCCUCGGGCAUUCCCUCUGUCUCCGGGUCUCCCCCAUCCCACCCCACCCCUGGGUCGCAGCGCUCCGGGCGGUGGCCUCUGUCGAUCCCAGGCCUCUUUGGGUCCAGAUUCCAUCGCUGACUCUCACUUACCGUUUGCCCGGCCUUUUCUGCAGCGCGGGUUCGGGGCGGAGAGGACUGGCUCGGAAGGGCCACGGCCGUUCCCUAAGGCAAGGAGCUUCUCAGGGAGAUGCGGCCCUAGAUCUGGGAUGGGGACCCCAGCCCCCGUCCAGGGAGUGCGGCAGGGCAGUUUGUUGAGAAAUAAAUCUGAGAUAAUUUAUGAACAAAAUCUUGAGCCUGUUGGCCUCUGGACUGGAAUUCCACCAUGCGCUCUCCUGUCUGCAGCUGGCUGAUUGCAGAGCUCAAAACUCCCUGGCUUCUGCCAUCGCCUGAGCCAACUCCUUGCAAUAAAUCAAUGUCCUCU